rnacentral:lncRNA from 1 species
CCCACUUUAAGUAAUCACCAAUUUAGUGGUAUCUCAUGGUUUGCUUAUUUUUUUUUCCAAUUAAGCCCUUACUUAAUAUUAUAUAAUUCUAUUUUCCCCUUUAUCCUAAUAUUAUUUAACUCCAUCUUCUACCCCGACCCUCACCCCACCAGCCCUCCCCCUAAUUCCUUUUUAAAGAAAAUUUCUUUUUUAAAAAAUAUCAAACUUUUUUCUUAUCCCACCCUCACUCACCCCUACCCCUACCCUAAAUACUUUUUUUCUAUUAUAAGGUUAAAUACCCUCUCCCCCCUCCCAAUAUUUUUCUUCUUGAAUAACAAACACAAGAAAAUAAGAAAGAAAUAAUUUAUUUUUCUAGCAAAUGGUCAUUUUGGAUUUCAUACCGACACACUCGUAGCAUACACAAAAGUUGCAUUCAAAAUUUGUACUUGUCGUUGGUGUUACGUCUCAAAACACCAAAAGGAAAUAAAAUUUGUUACUAUGAAAA